rnacentral:lncRNA from 1 species
CUGAAGUGGACACUGGCAGGCUUGGCCAGCAAGUCUUUUCUCUCCCACCUCCCAACUGCUAAGUUCCUCUUUCCUGUUACUGUGUUAGCUCUUAGUGCAAAACCUGUCCAGCCUUUAGGAGGCAUCAGUCUAGUCUAGGCUGCUACUUUGCAAGUGAUUAUAGGGACUACUGCCUGGUGGAAGCCCAGAUUUCAUGGUGUAUCUUUGAAGAACAGGCUUUCUAAUAUUUGUAAAACAUUUGCACAUCGCUUACAAAUAUUUGCUGCUCUUGCAAACAUGUAUGAACUUGGCUUUAUAACAGCCAGUAAGUUACUGAGUUGUGCUGGAACUGGAGAAAACAGAGUUCAGUUCUUUCUUCUACUAUUGCUGGCUUGGAUGACCUGGGGUAAGUCCUGUAAUGUCCAAGACUGAGAAAAGACUGUUUUGGUACCUUACUAUUGCAAUAGACCCUGGCAGCUGAGCUUAGGCCUCUAAAAACCAUUUAUAACUUGUAUGGAGAAUGAUCUCCCUCAGAACAGAUCCACAAUACCAAUUCCACUCUUUUUGUGCUUAGCACAAAGUGGCUUAGCAAGUAGGGGGUUUACUCCAAGAUUAGAGAUUUG